UACCAGCUCUCCGAGUGGUAGGGAUGAUUAUUGGGCUUAAAGCGUCCGUAGCCGGCUUAGCAAGUCUCCUGUUAAAUUCAGCGACCUAAUCGUUGAGCCGCGGGAGACACUACUAGGCUAGGAGGCGGGAGAGGCCGACGGUAUUCUCGGGGUAGGGGUGAAAUCCUAUAAUCCCGGGAGGACCACCAGUGGCGAAGGCUGUCGGCUAGAACGCGCUCGACGGUGAGGGACGAAAGCUGGGGGGAGCGAACCGGAUUAGAUACCCGGGUAGUCCCAGCUGUAAACGAUGCGGGCUAGGUGUUGGGGUGGCUACGAGCCACUUCAGUGCCGCAGGGAAGCCAUUAAGCCCGCCGCCUGGGGAGUACGGCCGCAAGGCUGAAACUUAAAGGAAUUGGCGGGGGAGCACCACAAGGCGUGAAGCUUGCGGUUC
rnacentral:rRNA from 1 species